UACGAAGGGGGCUAGCGUUGUUCGGAUUUACUGGGCGUAAAGCGCACGUAGGCGGAUCUUUAAGUCAGAGGGGAAAUCCCAAGGCUCAACCUUGGAACUGCCUUUGAUACUGGGGAUCUUGAGUCCGGGAGAGGUGAGUGGAACUGCGAGUGUAGAGGUGAAAUUCGUAGAUAUUCGCAAGAACACCAGUGGCGAAGGCGGCUCACUGGCCCGGUACUGACGCUGAGGUGCGAAAGCGUGGGGAGCAAACAGG
rnacentral:rRNA from 1 species